rnacentral:rRNA from 1 species
UACAGGGGGUGCAAACGUUGCUCGGAAUUAUUGGGCGUAAAGCGCGCGUAGGCGGUUGCUUAUGUCGGAUGUGAAAGCCCUCGGCUUAACUGAGGAAGUGCAUCCGAAACUGGGCAGCUAGAGUACGAAAGAGGGUCGCGGAAUUCCCGGUGUAGAGGUGAAAUUCGUAGAUAUCGCGAGGAACACCGGUGGCGAAGGCGGCGACCUGGGUCGAGACUGACGCUGAGGCGCGAAAGCGUGGGUAGCAAACGGG